CAUCGUCGCGCCUAAACCCUUGCGGCGAUCGCAGCAGCAGCCAUGGCGGUCGGGAAGAACAAGAGGAUCUCGAAGGGGAAGAAGGGAGGGAAGAAGAAGAAGGAGGCGUAGGUCGACCCGUUCGCCAAGAAGGAUUGGUACGACAUCAAGGUUCCCUCCGUCCGUCUUCAGCGUGAGGAACAUCGGCAAGACCCUCGUCUCGAGGACGCAGGGCCCCAAGAAAUUGAUUCAGGUUGAAGGGGAAUAAAGCAUUGAGUAUGAAAUGAAAUUGAGAGCACCAUGGUAACAAAGCGCCAGUACAUACCAUCUGGCAAAAUCUGUUCUACAUGACCUGCCAUAAAUGAGAUGAUUCAUGAUCUCAGGUUCCCAACUUAUUUCUUGAAAGGUCGCCUUUCUCAUGACUAUCAGCAACAAAAGAAUUGCUUCCUCUAUGUUAGACGUUGAAGUUGCGGAGGCAGGCUUGCUUAAUUCAGCACCACCAUAGAGCAGAGCAACUGCCAGGUCUUUCUGUAAGCUAGCUAGCUAGCCCACCCAUGGCUUCAUUAGGAAGGGCUCGGCGACAUGCAGCAAUAGCUUCUUCCUCAAGAAAUCCUGCUUGGGAAACAAUUCUACAGCUUUGUGAAACAUUUCUUUCAACUUGCUUGCUAUCAUCUCCAAUUCAUUCAGGUAUGCCAUGCGGCCAAGUAGAUUCAACAAUGUCGACAAUAGUUUUACAUUCAAAUGCUGCAUCUGCUACAAAAGUUCGCAGGCAGAUGCUAGUUCUUCUUCUUGGAAACCUCGAAUAUUUAGCUAGUUGUUCAUAAUACUUCAUAAAUAAUAUGGUGUAAUUUCUCAUACAAACCCGAAAU